AGAUGCAGCAGCUUCUCCCUUGUCUCGGGACUCUCGGCGCCAGGGUAGGAUCAGACGCUUUCUGAGGAAACACCUGGGCAAGGCUGUGGCUGUCAUCCAGGAAACAAGGCAGCAGCAGGUGGAAGAGCCAGACGUGGCACAAAGCUUGCAUGUGGAAUUACCAUCAAUGUCGCCUGCUGUAGUUCAGGACAGCGAGAACCAGCCAGGCAUUGCCACUCUUCCAGACCCAGGAGCGGCCCCACGGCGACGACUGAACCGCUUCAGGAGAGUGCUGAGGUCUCUGCGCAAGGCUUUCCGUUUCUCCUGCCUCACCCCACGUGUGGAGGAGUAGCGCUCUGCUGCCAGCGCCAGGCCCAAGGGAGCUGCGCUGAGGAUGUCAUGCUGCAGCCUACACUUGUUGUGGGUGCUUUCUUGGGCCAAUAAAUAAUAA